rnacentral:rRNA from 1 species
GACGAACGCUGGCGGCGUGCUUAACACAUGCAAGUCGAACGGAAAGGCGCUGAUCUUGUGGGGUGCUCGAGUGGCGAACGGGUGAGUAACACGUGAGUAAACCGCCCUUGACUUUGGGAUAACUUCAGGAAAAUGGGGCUAAUAUCGGAUAGGAGCUCCUGCUGCAUGGUGGGGGUUGGAAAGUUUCGGCGGUUGGGGAUGGACUCGCGGCUUAUCAGCUUGUUGGUGGGGUAGUGGCUUACGAAGGCUUUGACGGGUAGCCGGCCUGAGAGGGGGACCGGCCACAUUGGGACUAAGAGACGGCCCAGACGCCUACGGGAGGCAGCAGUGGGGAAUAUUGCGCAACGGGCGGAAGCGUGAGGCAGCAACGCCGCGUGCGGGAUGACGGCCUUCGGGUUGUAAACCGCUUUCGCCUGUGACGAAGCGGGAGUGACGGUAAUGGGUAAAGAAGCACCGGCUAACUACGUG